rnacentral:rRNA from 1 species
UGCCAGCAGCCGCGGUAAUACGGAGGAUGCGAGCGUUAUCCGGAUUUAUUGGGUUUAAAGGGAGCGCAGACGGGAUGUUAAGUCAGCUGUGAAAGUUUGGGGCUCAACCUUAAAAUUGCAGUUGAUACUGUCAUUCUUGAGUGCAGUUGAGGUAGGCGGAGUUCGUGGUGUAGCGGUGAAAUGCUUAGAUAUCACGAAGAACUCCGAUUGCGAAGGCAGCUUACUAAACUGUAACUGACGUUCAUGCUCGAAAGUGUGGGUAUCAAACAGGAUUAGAUA